rnacentral:rRNA from 1 species
UGGCGAACGGGUGAGUAACACGUGAGUAACCUGCCCUUGACUUUGGGAUAACUUCAGUAAACUGGGGCUAAUACCAGAUAGGAGCUCCUGCUGCAUGGUGGGGGUUGGAAAGUUUCGGCGGUUGGGGAUGGACUCGCGGCUUAUCAGCUUGUUGGUGGGGUAGUGGCUUACCAAGGCUUUGACGGGUAGCCGGCCUGAGAGGGUGACCGGCCACAUUGGGACUGAGAUACGGCCCAG